GGAGCGUUCGUCUAGUGGCCUAGGACAUCACCUUUUCAGGGUGAAUAUCGCGAGUUCGAAUCUCGCACGCUUCA
rnacentral:tRNA from 1 species